AUGGCUGGCUGCAGACGCCGAGCCCCUGGAGAUCAUCCCGCACCGUCCGCCGCCCGCCUGCCUGCCUGCCGCGUGAAGAGAAGAACGUGCCCUACGUGUUCGUGCGCUCCAAGCAGGCCCUCGGGCGGGCCUGCGGGGUGUCCGGGCCUGUCCUCGCCUGUCCCGUCACCAUCCAAGGAGGCUCGCAGCCAAAGCCGCAGAUCCAGUCCAUUCAGCAGUCCAUCGAAAGGCUCUUCGUGGAAACCGCUGGCCUCUGUCCCACCCCUCACGGAGCCCAGCCCUCCCCCCUGGGGUUGUGUCUACCGUCUGCGUUCGCAUGUAGUUUCUCCAGCUGCCUUCUCUCGUUCUUUUUUUUUUUUUUUUAAUUUUUAUUUAUUUAUGAUAGUCACAGAGAGAGAGAGAGGCAGAGACACAGGCAGAGGGAGAAGCAGGCUCCCCGCAGGGAACCCGAUGCGGGCACACGAGCGGCCGGAGUCCGCACCACCCCCAACCCCGGCGCGCGCCCCCCGCGCACCCGCCACGACGGCCGGGCGCGGAGGAGCCGGGGAGGGAGGGGCCCGCGGGCAGAACGAGAAGAGCGGUCGCAUCCGCCGUGGACGCCCGUCCCUCGUCUGACGCGGCUUAGGCCCGGCCCAGGAGAGCACGAGAUCACCACAUCGAUCGAUCGGCAGCAAGCUGCGGCCCCGAGGGGGCUUCCCGAGGAGCAAAAGCCCAGCGAGGACGGCGACCGGGGGGACCUGCUUCCGCCUCACCGGCAAGCCCCUCGACCCCCGGGGGGGGGGGGGGCAGGAGCGACCGGACAACCCCAGACACAGCGGGGGACGCCUGACACGCGGCACGGAGCCUUGCGAGACAGGGGUUGUCACGGCCAACGGCCGGGUGCCCACGGCAUGGAGCGCACGGGGGUAAAAGACCCACCGCCACCUGCCCACACCGCCCUCCCUCGGGUGCCGGAGACCGGAGGGCGACACCGCGACCCGGGCCACCUGGAGUCCAGCACGAGAGCCGGCGCGCAGGCCCAGGCGGACGGCUCAGGCUCCAGCGAGCGAGGACAGGGACCGGCUCGGCCGCGCGGUCAAGCCCGGAACCCCACCCGCGCCCAGAGGCCCACAUCUCUAAGGCGAGCGACGGACGGACCGGCUGUCUUUUACGUCUGCCUGUCGUCUGUCUGCCUGUCGCCGAAACACAACGUGUCAGCACCUACCUGGCAACAAAAAAUGUUCAUUUCGGGCAAGAAAAUAACCGCGCCUGCCGGCGGGGACCAGCCACAGGUCACCGCGACCUCCCGGGACCGUGACACGGCCAACUGUCCCCAAAAC
rnacentral:lncRNA from 1 species